rnacentral:rRNA from 1 species
AGCAGCAGCCACGGUAAUACGAAGGGUGCAAGCGUUACUCGGAAUUACUGGGCGUAAAGCGUGCGUAGGUGGUGGUUUAAGUCCGUUGUGAAAGCCCUGGGCUCAACCUGGGAAUUGCAGUGGAUACUGGGUCACUAGAGUGUGGUAGAGGAUAGUGGAAUUUCCGGUGUAGCAGUGAAAUGCGUAGAGAUCGGAAGGAACAUCUGUGGCGAAGGCGACUAUCUGGGCCAACACUGACACUGAGGCACGAAAGCGUGGGGAGCAAACAGGAUUAGAGACCCCUGUAGUCCCUGUCUCUUAUAC